CUGCAAAAGUGGCCAGAAUAGAUCUCCAAAUGGCUCCUUAUCAUACUCCUCUUCUGUUCACACGUGGCUCUGGGUCACAGGACGAUAAACAAAAUUUCUGAAAAAAUUAAGAAAUCUCCCUAUCAUAUUGAAUUUUCAUCAUUUUUAAGUUAGUUGAAUUCUGCUCCAUUUAAGCUAUCUUGGAAGAUGUGACAUUGGUGCACAGUCUACAUAAAUACAACUAAUAGUACCUUCAAGGGCAAAAAUCAGCCUGUGAAAAUGAAACCAAACUGACUGGAAACAGAAGGCACACACUAAAUGGAGGAUCUGAGGUACUAAAAGUUUAAAUAACUUGCUCUGGAUCAAGUAGAUGCAAACUCAGUUCUUCAAAUUUAAGCAGUCUUGUUCCAGAUUUCAUAUAAAACUCCUGCUUCUCGCCACUCCUUACCAAUCCUCAGGUGUUGGUAACAUGGACAGGAGGCACGAGGUUGUGCCUGGUGAGGCACUCCACCCUCAAGUCCUGGUGAGUGAUCCACCCUCAAGCCUGGACUUGUGGCCCUAAAUGUAAACAGGCAUUCUUGUUUUUGUACCCAAAUCUUGUCUUUAAGCCUGCUGUGCCCCCCACCCCAACCUGUGCCCAUAUAAACUGCAAAUCCCAGGCUUCACAAGCAGAAGCGCAGCAGAGUAGCAGAGAAGGAGAGAAGAGAGGAAGUGUUUUAACGCCAGAGGAGUUCUGCUGGGGCUGGUCAGAAAGGAGAUCAGCCGCAGGAUGGCUGAACUCCGGCAGAAGAUCAUUUUCCCAUUCCAUCCCCUCUCCAGCUACCCAUCCCAUCGAGAACCACCUCCAUCACUCAAUAAAAUCUCCCCAUUC
rnacentral:lncRNA from 1 species